rnacentral:rRNA from 1 species
GACGAACGCUGGCGGCGUGCCUAAUACAUGCAAGUCGAACGCAGUGGGGACGGGUGAGUAACAAGUGGGUAACCUCCCAUCAGAGGGGAUAACACUUGGAAACAGGUGCUAAACCGAUACUGAUGGAUGGACCCGCGGUGCAUUAGCUAGUGGGUGAGGUAACGGCUCACCAAGGCCACGAUGCAUAGCCGACUGGGGAGGUGGACCAGCCACACUGCAACUGAGACACGGUCCAGACUCCUACGGGAGGCAGCAGUAGUGAAUCUUCGGCAAUGGACGAAAGUUUGACCGAGCAACGCCGCGUGAGUGAAGAAGGUUUUCGGAUCGUAAAACUCUGUUGUUAGAUAAGCGGUAUCUAACCAGAAAGCCACGGCUAACUACGUGCCAGCCGCCGCGGUAAUUC